GAAGUGCGAUAAGUAGUGUGAAUUGCAGAAUUCCGUGAAUCAUCGAAUUUUUGAACGCAAAUUGCACUCUCCGGUUUUCCGGGAGAGUAUGCCUGUUUGAGGGUCAGUUCAAAUAAAAAUCGGGGUUGUUGCUGUGGUGACGCUUCGGAAUUGGGUCAUCUUUGCCUUUGGGUUUAAGCGACCUAAAAUUUUUUACGAUCCUACGAACGUGUUUAAGAUUUUCUUAUACGUUCAUGGUAUCGAAUCCUACUAGAUGUGGCCGCCGCGUCGGUCUUCACGUCUAUAAUAAUAUCAUCAAAUGACCUCAGACAGGUAAGAGUACCCGCUGAACUUAA
rnacentral:misc_RNA from 1 species